rnacentral:tRNA from 1 species
GCCCCUUUAGCUCAACUGGCAGAGCAGCUGACUCUUAAUCAGCGAGUUAUAGGUUCGAGUCCUAUAAGGUGCA